UACGGAGGGUGCGAGCGUUGUCCGGAAUCACUGGGCGUAAAGGGCGCGUAGGUGGCGCGGGCAGUCAACGGUGAAAGUUCGGGGCUCAACCCUGAAUCGGCCGUCGAUACUCCCGGGCUCGAGCACUGUAGAGGCAGAUGGAAUUCCGGGUGUAGCGGUGGAAUGCGGAGAGAUCCGGAAGGACACCGGUGGCGAAGGCGGUCUGCUGGGCAGUUGCUGGACACUGAGGCGCGACAGCGUGGGGAGCAAACAGG
rnacentral:rRNA from 1 species